AUUGAACGCUGGCGGCAGGCUUAACACAUGCAAGUCGAGCGGGGUGAUGGUGCUUGCACUAUCACUUAGCGGCGGACGGGUGAGUAAUGCUUAGGAAUCUGCCUAUUAGUGGGGGACAACAUCUCGAAAGGGAUGCUAAUACCGCAUACGUCCUACGGGAGAAAGCAGGGGAUCACUUGUGACCUUGCGCUAAUAGAUGAGCCUAAGUCGGAUUAGCUAGUUGGUGGGGUAAAGGCCUACCAAGGCGACGAUCUGUAGCGGGUCUGCGAGGAUGAUCCGCCACUCUGGGACUGAGACACGGCCCAGACUCCUACGGGAGGCAGCAUUGGGGAAUAUUGGACAAUGGGGGGAACCCUGAUCCAGCCAUGCCGCGUGUUUGAAGAAGGCCUUAUUGUUGUAAAGCACUUUAAGCGAGGAGGAGGCUCUUUUGGUUAAUACCCAAGAUGAGUGGACGUUACUCGCAGAAUAAGCACCGGCUAACUCUGUGCCAGCCGCCGCCGUAA
rnacentral:rRNA from 1 species